rnacentral:rRNA from 1 species
AACGAACGCUGGCGGCAGGCUUAACACAUGCAAGUCGAACGAGAUCUUCGGAUCUAGUGGCAGACGGGUGAGGAACACGUGGGAACAUCCCUUUCAGUUCGGAAUAACGUUGGGAAACUAACGCUAAUACCGGAUACGUCCUUCGGGAGAAAGAUUUAUCGCUGAAAGAUUGGCCCGCGUCUGAUUAGCUAGUUGGUGAGGUAACGGCUCACCAAGGCUGCGAUCAGUAGCUGAUCUGAGAGGAUGAUCAGCCACAUUGGGACUGAGACACGGCCCAAACUCCUACGGGAGGCAGCAGUGGGGAAUAUUGGACAAUGGGCGCAAGCCUGAUCCAGCCAUGCCGCGUGAGUGAUGAUGGCCUUCGGGUUGUAAAGCUCUUUUGUCCGGGAAGAUAAUGACUGUACCGGAAGAAUAAGCCCCGGCAAACUUCGUGCCAGCCGCCGCAGUAAGAC